rnacentral:rRNA from 1 species
CACGUAGGGGACGAGCGUUGUCCGGAUUCAUUGGGCGUAAAGCGCGCGUAGGCGGCUCGGAAAGUCGGUCGUGAAAUGCCGGGGCUCAACCCCGGGACUGCGUCCGAUACUCCCGAGCUGGAGGCAGGUAGGGGAGAUCGGAAUUCCUGGUGUAGCGGUGAAAUGCGCAGAUAUCAGGAGGAACACCGGUGGCGAAGGCGGGUCUCUGGGCCGUAACUGACGCUGAGGAGCGAAAGCGUGGGGAGCGAACAGG